rnacentral:tRNA from 1 species
GCUCUGGUGGUGCAGUGGUAAAGCAUUUGGCUGCUAACCAAAAGGUCAGUGGUUCAAAUCCACCAGCC